GAUGAACGCUGACAGAAUGCUUAACACAUGCAAGUCAACUUGAAUUUGGGUUUUUAACUUAGAUUUGGGUGGCGGACGGGUGAGUAACGCGUAAAGAACUUGCCUCACAGCUAGGGACAACAUUUAGAAAUGAAUGCUAAUACCUGAUAUUAUGAUUUUAAGGCAUCUUAGAAUUAUGAAAGCUAUAAGCACCGUGAGAGAGCUUUGCGUCCCAUUAGCUAGUUGGAGAGGUAACAGCUCACCAAGGCGAUGAUGGGUAGCCGGCCUGAGAGGGUGAACGGCCACAAGGGGACUGAGACACGGCCCUUACUCCUACGGGAGGCAGCAGUGGGGAAUAUUGGACAAUGGACCGAAAGUCUGAUCCAGCAAUUCUGUGUGCACGAUGAAGUUUUUCGGAAUGUAAAGUGCUUUCAGUUGGGAAGAAAGAAAUGACGGUACCAACAGAAGAAGUGACGGCUAAAUACGUGCCAGCAGCCGCGGUAAUACGUAUGUCACGAGCGUUAUCCGGAUUUAUUGGGCGUAAAGCGCGUCUAGGUGGUUAUGUAAGUCUGAUGUGAAAAUGCAGGGCUCAACUCUGUAUUGCGUUGGAAACUGUAUAACUAGAGUACUGGAGAGGUAAGCGGAACUACAAGUGUAGAGGUGAAAUUCGUAGAUAUUUGUAGGAAUGCCGAUGGGGAAGCCAGCUUACUGGACAGAUACUGACGCUAAAGCGCGAAAGCGUGGGUAGCAAACAGG
rnacentral:rRNA from 1 species